rnacentral:miRNA from 1 species
AUUUAGCGAGCUGAGUGGGGAGGAGAGAGGGACGGAGAGCCUGCUUGCUUUAAAGGAGCCAACCGGACUCCUCUCCUCUCCUGCUUUGCUCCUUUAAAGCAAGCAGGCUCUCUGUCCCUCUCUCCUCCCCACUCAGCGGCUCUUCUC